UACGAAGGGGGCUAGCGUUGCUCGGAAUCACUGGGCGUAAAGGGUGCGUAGGCGGGUCGUUAAGUCAGGGGUGAAAUCCUGGAGCUCAACUCCAGAACUGCCUUUGAUACUGAAGAUCUUGAGUUCGGGAGAGGUGAGUGGAACUGCGAGUGUAGAGGUGAAAUUCGUAGAUAUUCGCAAGAACACCAGUGGCGAAGGCGGCUCACUGGCCCGGUACUGACGCUGAGGUGCGAAAGCGUGGGGAGCAAACAGG
rnacentral:rRNA from 1 species